rnacentral:lncRNA from 1 species
AAAAAAGUACUUACAAGCAAAAUAAAUCGUUGUUUAAGAUGGCAAAAUCAACUAAUUCUAUUGGGUACAUCAUUAUUAUUCUCUUUGUUCUUUUUUCUCCGUUGACUCUAGCAACAUUAGAACCAUUAUAUGCAUCUGAGCUAUCAUCUGCCCCAGAAGCAAUAUCACCGGUAAUGUCAUUAAAGUUGUCUGCCGCAAGUCGUAGCACCCGUGUGUCUGUUUCAGGUAACUUAGUUUUAAGAAUUUUUUACCUUUUACUUUUUUUAUUUUUAUUGUCCUCAUAUUAAUAGAAAAUAUAUUUUCAACUCGAAAUGUGAAUAUAUAACUAAACGUAUAAACGUAUUCACAUUUGGAAUGAUUAAAUUUGAUAUUUAGAUGUCAGAAUUUUCUGAUAGUUCUUAAAAAAAAAUUACAUUAAAUGAUUGAAAGUCUUCUAAAUAUAAUUAUUUUGUAAUCAAAAUUUUGGUUUCUAAAUACAUACUCUCUCGUCGAUUCGGAUCGGCUCAUCAUGUUUUCUUCUAUGAGGAGUCUUUAUGAUAAAAAAUUAAUUUUUUUGAUAUAUUUGUUUUGACAAUUUCAGGUUGCUUUGGAUUUUGUAAAAAAUUCAAAUGUUGCAAUUGCCAGGCCGAGUUUCCCUAUUUAUGCAUCUCAUGUUGUUGAGAAUGAAAAUAGAAUAAAUCAUGUUUUUGUUACCAUGAUGUGGUUAACAACUAAUAUUGGCCAAUAAAAUUAUUAUAUGUAUUUGAAGCGUUCAUUUAAUAAAAGCAAUGCAAUGAAUGAUUAUCAUAUUCAUUCUAAAA